UACGUAGGGACCAAGCGUUGUUCGGAUUUACUGGGCGUAAAGGGCGCGUAGGCGGCUUGCCAAGUCACUUGUGAAAUCUCUGGGCUUAACCCAGAACGGCCAAGUGAAACUGGCAUGCUAGAGUGCAGAAGGGGCAAUCGGAAUUCUUGGUGUAGCGGUGAAAUGCGUAGAUAUCAAGAGGAACACCUGAGGUGAAGACGGGUUGCUGGGCUGACACUGACGCUGAGGCGCGAAAGCGUGGGGAGCAAACAGG
rnacentral:rRNA from 1 species